rnacentral:rRNA from 1 species
ACGGGGGGUGCAAGCGUUGUUCGGAAUUAUUGCGCGUAAAGAGCGUGUAGGCGGCUGAAUAAGUCAGAUGUGAAAUCCCUGGGCUUAACCCAGGAAGAGCAUUUGAAACUAUUCAGCUUGAGUAGGGGAGAGGAAAGUGGAAUUCCUGGUGUAGAGGUGAAAUUCGUGGAGAUCAGGAGGAGCAUCGGUGGCGAAGGCGACUUACUGGCCCUAUACUGACGCUGAGGCGCGAGAGCGUGGGUAGCAAACAG